rnacentral:rRNA from 1 species
UGCAGUCGAGCGGUAACAGAUCUAGCUUGCUAGAUGCUGACGAGCGGCGGACGGGUGAGUAACGCGUAGGAAACUGCCGAGUAGUGGGGGAUAGCCCAGAGAAAUUUGGAUUAAUACCGCAUACGCCCUACGGGGGAAAGGAGGGGAUCUUCGGACCUUUCGCUAUUCGAUGUGCCUGCGUGAGAUUAGCUUGUUGGUGGGGUAAAGGCUCACCAAGGCGACGAUCUCUAGCUGGUUUGAGAGGAUGAUCAGCCACACUGGGACUGAGACACGGCCCAGACUCCUACGGGAGGCAGCAGUGGGGAAUAUUGCACAAUGGGGGAAACCCUGAUGCAGCCAUGCCGCGUGUGUGAAGAAGGCCUUCGGGUUGUAAAGCACUUUCAGCAGUGAGGAAAGGUUGUAAGUUAAUACCUUGCAGCUAUGACGUUAACUGCAGAAGAAGGACCGGCUAACUCCGUGCCAGCAGCCGCGGUAAUACGGAGGGUCCGAGCGUUAAUCGGAAUUACUGGGCGUAAAGCGCGCGUAGGCGGCUAGGUCAGUCAGAUGUGAAAGCCCCGGGCUUAACCUGGGAAUUGCAUCUGAUACUGCUUGGCUAGAGUACAGAAGAGGGUGGUGGAAUUUCCUGUG